UAGACUGGGGACGGGCAUAGACGGCGAGCUGAGCUGUCAGUCAGCACAGCUUACGAACGCGCAUACCGCGCACAUGUGCCGUAGAGCGUUCAGUUUUUUCAUAGAGCGGCAUUCAAAGAGAAGUGUCUGACUGGGCCCUGCGUUUUCGUCAUUUUGACGAAAAAGGGGACGUGACCUGGUGGGGAGCUUGGUGCUGGAACGGAGGUUUUAAUGAUAAAAAGG